UGUGUUGAUCUUGAUCUCUUUCUUCUUUUUAUCAUUCACCUCAAACUUAAAUCUCGUUGAUGCUGGUGAUACAACCUCAAUUAUAUUGAAUUCAUGAAAUUUUGAACAAUUGGUUAUGAAAAGUAAAGAUGUUUGGUUUCUCUUGUUCGGAGCACCCUGGUGUCCAUAUGUUAAACAACUUAAACCGGAGUGGGACAAGGCUUCAAAGGCUUUGUAAGGAAAGGUCAAGUUUGGUGAACUUGACUAUGACGUGGAAAAUGAUAUACAAGCAAGGUUUGGAGUAACUGGUUCCCGACUGUUUUUGCAUUUGGUCCAGAUAAAUGUGCAGCUCCCAAUGGAGUAACUGAAAGAACUGUAGACACACUUGAAAAGGCUGGCCUGGCUUACCAUGACAAAGCACAAGGGUGUAAAAUGGAGUUUUGAAUUGAGGAUUGCAUUCGAAUAAGAUUUGUUUGACUUGUUAUCGAUAUGAAACAAUAAUGACACCUUUAACCUUGGUAUAAAAAGCUAAUAAAGAGUAAUUUUAAUUUUGAUCCGAGAAACCAAAGCCGAAGCUCCUGCAUGUGAUCCUCGCGGCCCGAAUUGUGUGGUAAACCUUUCCAGAAAGAACCCGCUUGUCGUAGAAGGGGGUAAAGAAGAUAUGGAGGCGGAAAGGGAAAAAGAAGAUGACACCCCCGAGAUAAUUAUAGUUGGUCACAGCAAGAUGUCACGUUGACAAGAAUGUUGUUUUCCUCCAUUGUAUGUACUAUAAUUGUUAUGGUUUUGUUUUUUCUUUUGUGUUAGGCUUAUAUAUUUGCAUCUAUGUACAAUUUCGAUAUCUUAGCUUUGUGUUGCUUGUUUGAUUUGAUAUAGUUGGGUUUAAUGACAACCUAAAAACCUGUGUAUGAGAAAAAAAAAUGUCAAUAAAGGUG